rnacentral:rRNA from 1 species
GACGAACGCUGGCGGCGUGCCUAAUACAUGCAAGUAGAACGCUGAAGAGAGGAGCUUGCUCUUCUUGGAUGAGUUGCGAACGGGUGAGUAACGCGUAGGUAACCUGCCUUGUAGCGGGGGAUAACUAUUGGAAACGAUAGCUAAUACCGCAUAACAAUGGAUGUCACAUGUCAUUUAUUUGAGAGGGGCAAUUGCUCCACUACAAGAUGGACCUGCGUUGUAUUAGCUAGUAGGUGAGGUAACGGCUCACCUAGGCGACGAUACAUAGCCGACCUGAGAGGGUGAUCGGCCACACUGGGACUGAGACACGGCCCAGACUCCUACGGGAGGCAGCAGUAGGGAAUCUUCGGCAAUGGGGGCAACCCUGACCGAGCAACGCCGCGUGAGUGAAGAAGGUUUUCGGAUCGUAAAGCUCUGUUGUAAGUCAAGAACGAGUGUGAGAGUGGAAAAUUCACACUGUGACGGUAGCUUACCAGAAAGGGACGGCUAACUACGUGCCAGCAGCCGCGGUAAUACGUAGGUCCCGAGCGUUGUCCGGAUUUAUUGGGCGUAAAGCGAGCGCAGGCGGUUUGAUAAGUCUGAAGUUAAAGGCUGUGGCUCAACCAUAGUUCGCUUUGGAAACUGUCAAACUUGAGUGCAGAAGGGGAGAGUGGAAUUCCAUGUGUAGCGGUGAAAUGCGUAGAUAUAUGGAGGAACACCGGUGGCGAAAGCGGCUCUCUGGUCUGUAACUGACGCUGAGGCUCGAAAGCGUGGGGAGCGAACAGGAUUAGAUACCCUGGUAGUCCACGCCGUAAACGAUGAGUGCUAGGUGUUGGAUCCUUUCCGGGAUUCAGUGCCGCAGCUAACGCAUUAAGCACUCCGCCUGGGGAGUACGACCGCAAGGUUGAAACUCAAAGGAAUUGACGGGGGCCCGCACAAGCGGUGGAGCAUGUGGUUUAAUUCGAAGCAACGCGAAGAACCUUACCAGGUCUUGACAUCCCGAUGCUAUUUCUAGAGAUAGAAAGUUACUUCGGUACAUCGGUGACAGGUGGUGCAUGGUUGUCGUCAGCUCGUGUCGUGAGAUGUUGGGUUAAGUCCCGCAACGAGCGCAACCCCUAUUGUUAGUUGCCAUCAUUCAGUUGGGCACUCUAGCGAGACUGCCGGUAAUAAACCGGAGGAAGGUGGGGAUGACGUCAAAUCAUCAUGCCCCUUAUGACCUGGGCUACACACGUGCUACAAUGGUUGGUACAACGAGUUGCGAGUCGGUGACGGCAAGCUAAUCUCUUAAAGCCAAUCUCAGUUCGGAUUGUAGGCUGCAACUCGCCUACAUGAAGUCGGAAUCGCUAGUAAUCGCGGAUCAGCACGCCGCGGUGAAUACGUUCCCGGGCCU